rnacentral:rRNA from 1 species
CUGUAGCAAUACAGAGUGGCAGACGGGUGAGUAACACGUGGGAAUCUUCCUAUCGGUACGGAAUAGCUCAGGGAAACUUGGGGUAAUACCGCAUACGCCCUUCGGGGGAAAGAUUUAUCGCCGAUAGAUGAGCCCGCGUCUGAUUAGCUAGUUGGUGAGGUAAUGGCUCACCAAGGCGACGAUCAGUAGCUGGUCUGAGAGGAUGACCAGCCACACUGGGACUGAGACACGGCCCAGACUCCUACGGGAGGCAGCAGUGGGGAAUAUUGGACAAUGGGCGAAAGCCUGAUCCAGCCAUGCCGCGUGAGUGACGAAGGUCUUCGGAUUGUAAAGCUCUUUUGGCGGGGACGAUAAUGACGGUACCCGCAGAAUAAGCCCCGGCUAACUUCGUGCCAGC